UACAGAGGGUGCGAGCGUUGUUCGGAAUUACUGGGUGUAAAGGGUUCGUAGGCGGUGCGGCAAGUUGGGAGUGAAAUCUCUGGGCUUAACCCAGAGGCUGCUUCCAAAACUGCUGUGCUUGAGUGUGGGAGAGGCGCGUGGAAUUGCAGGUGUAGCGGUGAAAUGCGUAGAUAUCUGCAGGAACACCCGUGGCGAAAGCGGCCCUCUGGACGGUGACUGACGCUGAGACGCGAAAGCGUGGGGAGCAAACAGG
rnacentral:rRNA from 1 species